GGUGCGGUGAUGAUCCCCAACAUGCCAUCUGAGCGCCCUUGCUGAGAACCAGAGGCUGUUUCUGAGUUG
rfam:Erinaceus europaeus unplaced genomic scaffold scaffold00328, whole genome shotgun sequence